UACGUAGGGGGCUAGCGUUGCUCGGAAUCACUGGGCGUAAAGCGCACGUAGGCGGAUUGUUAAGUCAGGGGUGAAAUCCUGGAGCUCAACUCCAGAACUGCCUUUGAUACUGGCAAUCUCGAGUCCGGGAGAGGUGAGUGGAACUGCGAGUGUAGAGGUGAAAUUCGUAGAUAUUCGCAAGAACACCAGUGGCGAAGGCGGCUCACUGGCCCGGUACUGACGCUGAGGUGCGAAAGCGUGGGGAGCAAACAGG
rnacentral:rRNA from 1 species